rnacentral:lncRNA from 1 species
CCGUAGCUAAUUCUGUUGCUAUAAAUUAAUUAACAAACCGCUUUGUUGUUCGUAUGUGAUCUCCGUACGUGAAUUUUCAUAUCAAAGGGACGAGUUUACUAUCUGUCGCUACAUCUGUCGCUACAAUAUUUUAAUUAGAGACGGAUUUAACGGUCGUCGCUAAUGACAUCGCUAUAUAUAAACUAUAGUCAUCAAAGAAACGGAUUUAUAGUCCGUCACAAAUUCCGAAGCUAACUGGUCAAUUUUGAAACGGAUCUAUAUUCCAUCACAAAAGUUCGUCGCUAAAUCGUGAUUUUCUAGUAGUG